UACGAAGGGGGCUAGCGUUACUCGGAUUGACUGGGCGUAAAGGGCGCGUAGGCGGAUGGUACAGUCAGACGUGAAAUUCCUGGGCUCAACCUGGGGGCUGCGUUUGAUACGUGCUGUCUGGAGUUCGGAAGAGGGUCGUGGAAUUCCCAGUGUAGAGGUGAAAUUCGUAGAUAUUGGGAAGAACACCGGUGGCGAAGGCGGCGACCUGGUCCGAUACUGACGCUGAGGCGCGAAAGCGUGGGGGAGCAAACAGG
rnacentral:rRNA from 1 species